UGGGUUGUAGCCAAGCGGUAAGGCAACAGGUUUUGAUCCUGUCAUGCGAAGGUUCGAAUCCUUCCAACCCAACCA
rnacentral:tRNA from 1 species